GAUCCAAGAGGCUCACUAGAAGUAUUCAACCCAUCAACUUACUCUAUUUCCCGGCCAAAAAAUCCAGUUUUCCGAUCAUCACAGCCCUCAUGGAAAAAUAAUUGGGCCGAGCCCGAGCCCGAGCCCAUUAAAAGAAGCAGCAGCAUCCCUGAAACAGAAGAAGAAUCAGAGCCUAUAGUAUCCAACAAUAAUGAUAUUAAAGAGGAAACUAUUGCCACGUCAUGGAUGGCAAUCAAAGACCCAAUUAUUACUCCAAUUUCAACGUCGCAAUUGUCUUCUCCGAUUACUCAGACGGCUAUUUCGCCGGCGGCAGCGGAUGAAAAUGGUGCUGCUGCUCAGAGAGCGGCGGAGUGGGGAUUGGUGCUGAAAACUGAUGAUGAGACUGGGAAGUUAAAGGGAGUUAAAGUUCGAAAUUCUGGAGAUGAUCCUAAUGGUAAAGCUGAAAAUUCUAGAAGGAACUCCGGUAACUCUGUUCGGAGUUCCGGCGAGUUUUCUGACGAUGGAGCUGGUAAGCAUUUUUGCCGAAUUUAACUUAUAUACACUUCUAUGGUACUAGCACCAUAUUUUUCAGUUGUUUAUUUUUACUCAAACAGAUAAUCUAAAAGAUAAAUAUAGAAAAACGGUUCAUAAAAUAAAGUACACAUAUUGCUUAAAGAUAGAAUUAAAUUACACUAUCAGUAUAUAAAAGCUCAAUUUUAUUUACUUUAUUUUUCAUGUUAUAUAAAAGCUCAAUUUUAUUUACUUUAUUUUUCAUGUUGUCAAUCUAAGUAUAAAUUUUUCAAACGUAAAAUUUAGUUCUUUUGUAAAAUAUGAACAGUUCCUGACCUGAAAUUCAGGUAAAGAGAGGGGUUUUCCAAGGGUUUCAGAGGAUUUGAGAGAUGCCUUAUCAACAUUUCAACAAACAUUUGUGGUGUCGGAUGCAACAAAACCCGAUUACCCGAUUUUGUAUGCAAGUGCUGGAUUUUUC
rnacentral:lncRNA from 1 species